GUGUGGUUCAUUUUUGCCGAACAAAAGAAAAGUCUGUCUGAGGUCUGGCUGUGGUUCUGGUCACAAUAACCUCAACCUUAAAUACUGCAAAGCCUUUAUGAAUUAAUCAAACAUGAAAACAACUUGAACGCAAGUGAUGUAAGUGUGUCCACAAGAUGUCUUGAGGGAUAACCAGGGAUCAAGUGUCCGUCUUCUGACGUUGUUCAUGUCAGAGACAAGGGGUCACCUUUACAUUGUGACGUAGGGUUUCGGUUUUAUCUGCUGGCUGCCUCUUAAUAUUCCGUUUCAUCCCGACCCUCCUGCUGGCAUCUGAAAAUAAGAUCAAGAUAUAUACGAAGUCUCGCGGCUCUCAGACGGGUGAAAGAAAACAGCAUUUGAAAGCCUCGUGGCGCUUUCUGUUCUUCAGCAGUCCCUUCAUCCCUCUCCUGCAGUUCCUCUCAUCGACGGUUUGAAAUUCAACCUUAAAUACAAUAUCCAUUAUUCACAGGUGUGACUGACAGCCUGUUGGCUUGCGGUGCAAACAACUUUGAUUCGAUUAGUUUAUCUGCUUCUGUUGGAAACCAGAGAUUCUUCAUGUUAAAGGGACAGAUGAAGAAACAUUUGACUAUUUCUUCUGAGGUAAAUUGAGGGUUUAGACACAGGAACAUUUUCUUCAGAUGGGAACGGGGCUUGUUACUCCUCCAUUACCGGCAGUGUGGGUGUCUCUCUCGCGUGGAGAAUGGAGCUCCUGAAAGCGAGCAGUAAAACACCUACCAGCCAUGGGAGCACAGAGCCAAUUAAAGCCAACAAUAGAACAAUACAGAAUACCUUCACUGCUCCAAAUAGGCAUUUGGCUCCGAUGUACCUCUUGGUGAGACCAGUGUCAUCUUCCCUGGGCAAAGGUUUAUGAAUCUCAUAAUGAGAAACUUACUGUGGCAGCAUUUCAUGUGUGCAGGACUUUGUGUCAUCAUAGGGAGGGGAUUUGAUUGGCUGAAAAUAAUCUGAAAAUGCAUGAAUUAAUAAUGACAUUAAAUCUUGUGUCUCAUAAAUCGAGUAAGUCUACUACCUAUUUGUCCUGCAACAGACUUGUAAGAAGACAAUUGGAAUUGAGGCUCCCCCUUUAGAAGACAGAUUGAGUAUGGGCGAGCAUUUUGGGUCUUGCGUUUCUGAAUUAGAGUGUGUCGAUUGAAGAAUCAUGGUGAAUGCAAAUUAGUAUUGAUCGUGAUUAAAUUGACACCUUUAUUAGUAUGCUUUUUGUGUCCUGUUUCUCUUCUCAUCCUCUGAGCGAUAAAAACACAGAUACAUUCAUUUACUCUUCUAAUGUGAAUAGUCUGGCCUGUUUUAAUUCCUUAAUAAAAUGAAAUUAAAGUGUAUAAUACUUCUA